rnacentral:misc_RNA from 1 species
UUGAACCCAGCCAUUGACGGUGAACACAAAUCCCGAGAGUUGCUCCCCAAAGUACUCGACCAUGUCGUUCCUCUCAGGUUCUCCAUGCACAAGGACAUCAAUGUCAAGUUCUUCUUGGAGCUUGACAACUUUGUUGAUUUCUUCUUUGAUGGCACUGACAUACUCCUCUUCGGAGAUCUUCUUAGCCUUGUACUCCCUUCGGACUCUUCGG